rnacentral:rRNA from 1 species
UACGAAGGGGGCAAGCGUUGUUCGGAAUUACUGGGCGUAAAGGGCGCGUAGGCGGCCGAUCAAGUCAGGCGUGAAAUUCCCGGGCUCAACCUGGGGGCUGCGCUUGAUACUGAUUGGCUUGAAUGCGGGAGAGGAUAGUGGAAUUCCCAGUGUAGAGGUGAAAUUCGUAGAUAUUGGGAAGAACACCGGUGGCGAAGGCGGCUAUCUGGCCCGUAAUUGACGCUGAGACGCGAAAGCGUGGGGAGCAAACAGG